UUAACUUUCCUAAGAAGCCAAGCUAAGCUUCGGCCUCAGUCUGAUUCUGAAUCGUACUUUAAGCUCAAUAUAUCAGCCUGAACUGCUAAGGUUUGCAAGUGAUCAGCUAUCUCCCGAACCUGAGCUAUAGCUUCGCCCAUGACAUAGUCUCUAUCUCUAAUCUGAUUUUGAGAGUGGUGAAGCUGUUCUCUGUAAUGGUCGUUGUUUGUCUCAAGAAGUUCCACUUGAAUUUUGCUAUCUCGCAGUGCGGUCUCGAGUUCUUCUAUUUUCCCUUUCAACUCUUCGAUCCUGCUCAGACUAGCCUUUAGCUUAAUUAUCGAAUUAUGGCUAUGAUGUUGCUGAAGUAAUCUUUCCAAUUCAGCCACCCAAGCUCGUAACUUCUCCUUUUCAUUUUGGGUUUCUAACAAACUCUUCCUCAGAGUGUCCUCUCGUACUCG
rnacentral:lncRNA from 1 species